rnacentral:rRNA from 1 species
AGAGUUUGAUCAUGGCUCAGAUUGAACGCUGGCGGCAUGCCUUACACAUGCAAGUCGAGCGGCAGCGCGGGGGCAACCCUGGCGGCGAGCGGCGAACGGGUGAGUAAUGCAUCGGAACGUGUCCUCUUGUGGGGGAUAACCAGUCGAAAGACUGGCUAAUACCGCAUGAGAUCGAGAGAUGAAAGCAGGGGACCGCAAGGCCUUGCGCGAGAGGAGCGGCCGAUGCCGGAUUAGCUAGUUGGUGGGGUAAAAGCCUACCAAGGCGACGAUCCGUAGCUGGUCUGAGAGGACGACCAGCCACACUGGGACUGAGACACGGCCCAGACUCCUACGGGAGGCAGCAGUGGGGAAUUUUGGACAAUGGGGGCAACCCUGAUCCAGCCAUGCCGCGUGUGUGAAGAAGGCCUUCGGGUUGUAAAGCACUUUCGGCCGGAACGAAAUCGCGCGAUCUAAUAAGUCGCGUGGAUGACGGUACCGAAGAAGAAGACCC